AUCCAUCUGACAAGUCCCAACUAGGACGAAAUGUGUGUCCUGCAU
rfam:Schistosoma rodhaini strain Burundi genome assembly, scaffold: SROB_scaffold0004528